CGUACAAGCAGUGGGAGCACAGGUUUACCUGUGUGACUGCGUACCUUUUGUAUAAUGGGUCAGCGACUUAUAUUCUGUAGCAAGGUUAACCGUAUAGGGGAGCCGGAGGGAAACCGAGUCUUAACCGGGCGUUAAGUUGCAGGGUAUAGACCCGAAACCCGGUGAUCUAGCCAUGGGCAGGUUGAAGGUUGGGUAACACUAACUGGAGGACCGAACCGACUAAUGUUGAAAAAUUAGCGGAUGACCUGUGGCUGGGGGUGAAAGGCCAAUCAAACCGGGAGAUAGCUGGUUCUCCCCGAAAGCUAUUUAGGUAGCGCCUCGUGAAUUCAUCUCCGGGGGUAGAGCACUGUUUCGGCUAGGGGGCCAUCCCGGCUUACCAACCCGAUGCAAACUGCGAAUACCGGAGAAUGUUAUCACGGGAGACACACGGCGGGUGCUAACGUCCGUCGUGAAGAGGGAAACAACCCAGACCGCCAGCUAAGGUCCCAAAGUCAUGGUUAAGUGGGAAACGAUGUGGGAAGGCCCAGACAGCCAGGAUGUUGGCUUAGAAGCAGCCAUCAUUUAAAGAAAGCGUAAUAGCUCACUGGUCGAGUCGGCCUGCGCGGAAGAUGUAACGGGGCUAAACCAUGCACCGAAGCUGCGGCAGCGA
rnacentral:rRNA from 1 species